rnacentral:rRNA from 1 species
UACGUAGGGGCAAGCGUUGUCCGGAUUUAUUGGCGUAAAGAGCGUGUAGGCGGCUAGGUAGGUCCGUUGUGAAAACCUCGAGGCUCAACCUCGAGACGUCGAUGGAAACCAUCUAGCUAGAGUCCGGAAGAGGAGAGUGGAAUUCCUGGAUGUAGCGGUGAAAUGACGCAGAUAUCAGGAAGAACACCCGUGGCGAAGGCGGCUCUCUGGUACGUGACUGACGCUGAGACGCGAAAGCGUGGGGAGCGAACAGG